rnacentral:rRNA from 1 species
GCAUAAGAUUGUAGCUUCGCAUGAAGUAGCAAUUAAAGGAAGCAAUCCGCUAUGAGAUGGGCCCGCGGCGCAUUAGCUAGUUGGUGAGGUAAUGGCUCACCAAGGCGACGAUCCCUAGCUGGUCUGAGAGGAUGACCAGCCACACUGGAACUGAGACACGGUCCAGACUCCUACGGGAGGCAGCAUG